rnacentral:rRNA from 1 species
UACGUAGGUGGCGAGCGUUGUCCGGAUUUACUGGGCGUAAAGGGAGCGUAGGCGGAUUUUUAAGUGAGAUGUGAAAUACUCGGGCUCAACUUGAGUGCUGCAUUUCAAACUGGAAGUCUAGAGUGCAGGAGAGGAGAAUGGAAUUCCUAGUGUAGCGGUGAAAUGCGUAGAUAUAUGGAAGAACACCAGUGGCGAAAGCGGCUCUCUGGUCUGUAACUGACGCUGAGGUUCGAAAGCGUGGGUAGCAAACAGG